rnacentral:rRNA from 1 species
AUUGAACGCUGGCGGCAUGCCUUACACAUGCAAGUCGAACGGCAGCAUGAUCUAGCUUGCUAGAUUGAUGGCGAGUGGCGCACGGGUGAGUCAUACAUCGGAACGUGCCCUGCAGUGGGGGAUAACUAGUCGAAAGAUUAGCUAAUACCGCAUACGACCUGAGGGUGAAAGUGGGGGACCGCAAGGCCUCAUGCUAUAGGAGCGGCCGAUGUCUGAUUAGCUAGUUGGUGAGGUAAAGGCUCACCAAGGCGACGAUCAGUAGCUGGUCUGAGAGGACGAUCAGCCACACUGGGACUGAGACACGGCCCAGACUCCUACGGGAGGCAGCAGUGGGGAAUUUUGGACAAUGGGCGAAAGCCUGAUCCAGCAAUGCCGCGUGUGUGAAGAAGGCCUUCGGGUUGUAAAGCACUUUUGUCCGGAAAGAAAUGGCUCUGGUUAAUACCUGGGGUCGAUGACGGUACCGGAAGAAUAAGGACCGGCUAACUACGUG